GAUGAACGCUGGCGGCGUGCUUAACACAUGCAAGUCGAACGGUGAAGCAGAGCUUGCUCUGUGGAUCAGUGGCGAACGGGUGAGUAACACGUGAGCAACCUGCCCCUGACUCUGGGAUAAGCGCUGGAAACGGCGUCUAAUACUGGAUAUGAGCUGCGACCGCAUGGUCGGCAGUUGGAAAGAUUUUUCGGUCUGGGAUGGGCUCACGGCCUAUCGGCUUGUUGGUGAGGUAAUGGCUCACCAAGGCGUCGACGGGUAGCCGGCCUGAGAGGGUGACCGGCCACACUGGGACUGAGACACGGCCCAGACUCCUACGGGAGGCAGCAGUGGGGAAUAUUGCACAAUGGGCGAAAGCCUGAUGCAGCAACGCCGCGUGAGGGAUGACGGCCUUCGGGUUGUAAACCUCUUUUAGCAGGGAAGAAGCGAAAGUGACGGUACCUGCAGAAAAAGCGCCGGCUAACUACGUG
rnacentral:rRNA from 1 species